rnacentral:rRNA from 1 species
AUUGAACGCUGGCGGCAGGCCUAACACAUGCAAGUCGAGCGGCAGCGGGGGGAAGCUUGCUUCCUCGCCGGCGAGCGGCGGACGGGUGAGUAAUGUCUGGGAAACUGCCCGAUGGAGGGGGAUAACUACUGGAAACGGUAGCUAAUACCGCAUAACGUCGCAAGACCAAAGAGGGGGACCUUCGGGCCUCUUGCCAUCAGAUGUGCCCAGAUGGGAUUAGCUAGUAGGUGGGGUAAUGGCUCACCUAGGCGACGAUCCCUAGCUGGUCUGAGAGGAUGACCAGCCACACUGGAACUGAGACACGGUCCAGACUCCUACGGGAGGCAGCAGUGGGGAAUAUUGCACAAUGGGCGCAAGCCUGAUGCAGCCAUGCCGCGUGUGUGAAGAAGGCCUUCGGGUUGUAAAGCACUUUCAGCGAGGAGGAAGGUGGUGAGCUUAAUACGCUCAUCAAUUGACGUUACUCGCAGAAGAAGCACCGGCUAACUCCGUGCCAGCCGCCGCCGUAAAAC